GGCUCGCCUCCUGGAGCAGGUCCACAGAGCCCAGCCUGCGGGCGGCCGAGGGGGGAAAGCCGGGGCUGUUGCCCUACCCCGCUGUUAGCGUUACGUUCCUGCUCGGUGCUAUGUUUUAUUCGUUCUUUCUAUUAAACCUCUUAAAUUCCAGCUCAGGUCCCUCCCUCAUGAAGCCUUCCUGGAUUAUUUGAACCUUCAACAAUCUCCUUCUUUCAGCUCACUCAGCAGGUAACGUAGCCCCCUAUUUGGAGCCGUCUUCUCCCUUUGUCCAGCUGCCUCUAAGGAUGCGUCUGGACGGAUCUCCACAGCUGGACAAGGGACUUCAACUCACUGUCCGGGACUGAACAUCUCCCGUCUCCCACGGCACCGGGCACACGCUGGGCUCUUCCUGCUGACCUCAGGGGAGCUGGGUUCAGAUGGCAGGAAAACGAACCUGGCUUUGCCACGCUCCAGUUCACCUGCCUCCUUGCACACCUGAGUUCAGGAGCCUCGUCCCUCCACCAGAGGGCGUGGCAGCAUGGAUGCCAGCCGCACCUGGGCUCUGCCAGGUGUUCCGACCGCAGCCCUUUGGAAGGUUCUGUCCCGCGUCCCCUCGCUGACGGACCCCAGGGCCACGUGACAUGCCUGCCCACCGCAGACUCAGCAGACGGGCUGAAUGGAGGAAGGUCAUUCCCAUGGCGCGUCCCCGAGACCCGACUCCUGGUGGAGACCCUGCCAGCAGCACGGCCCCCAGCUCUGACGCCGGAAGAGCUUGGGGUCGCUCCCAUUCUCACCACGAGAACAAUCCUGAGCCACCUGAAGACUGACGGCUUUUCUUGGACACAUCAGAGGACCGGGGUCAGAGGGCACAGCAUCCGAAGGUCACGAGUGAGAUCCGCUGCCUCGCACCCUGAGAUACCGACCGAAACCCUGAAGAAUGCAGUGAUGGACGGCCCAGGACGCGUCUCCAAGUCGAGGCCGAGCUUGAGCUGCUCGUCGCUGAAGCUGGCGAGUCGUCCCUGA
rnacentral:lncRNA from 1 species